CUGUGUUGCUGGCUUCCCGACCUACUGCCUGUCCACGACUAUCCUUCCGUCUGAUCCCUCUGGAAUUAGUCUGCCCCGCUGAUUGUCUGCCUGGAUUUGACAUUGCCUCCGCUUCGACCACAAGCUCAGCCUGCCCCUCGACAGUGCCGCUGCACUUCACAAAGACUCUCAGGUGUAGUGUGUUUUCUGUGUACACUCACCUUUCUGCCUGUUGGAUCGGUUUCCUGUGGAUCUGUGUUCUGUUGGACUUGGAGAUUCUACAGAGACUGCUUAAAUCAAUCCCAGUAUCUUCAGUUUCCUGUGUGCUGUGUUCUGUUGCAAUAAAAGUAGCUUCUAAACCACUACCUGCUGUUGUGCUGCACUUGGGUCCUACAUCCACACCCCUGACAAAAAUAUGUACAUUCUACAAAACUUAUCGUGUUCAUUCUAAAACUGAACUGUCCAUUCUAGAAUCUCACUGAGUUCAUUCUAGAAUCUUACUGUUUCAUUCUAGAAUCCGACUGUCUUUAUUUAUAGAAUUUUGCCACUAGAUGUUGCUCAGUCUCUCCAUUCUGUACACAGCGCCUUUAAAUGAAAUGGAAACUACUUUAAACUCAUUCACUGAUCAUCUCUUUCACCCAUCCAGAGUUGGUAAAGAGAGGCGACCCCGACACACCCCCUCUCCCCAACAGUGGUCACCUGCUCCUCUGACUCUCGGUCAACCCCAGGAUCUCCUCCUAUUGGAAAUCU